GGGACUUCCUGGUUGGAUGGAAGAAGAUAGGAAGCAGGAGAGAGUUAGGCCCUUUUUUGGAACGGAGACAGCAGAGGGCAGCUCGUCUGAGUUCAAGAGGGAAAGAUAUGGUGGCCAAGCAUGAGGUGCUCCACAAAGGCCGUGGGGAAUUUGAAGCGCAAGAAGCUUGACCAGACUUGGAACUGAAACACCUUAAGGACAAAGGAAAGACUUGCUGAGCUCACUCACAGACCUUCUAGAGCAGCGCUGGGCUCAUGGAUCUGGAGAUUGUGGACAAGAGAUAAUGUAGACGUUAUAACCAGGCCAGCGUCCUGUGGUGAAGGGUGUCGUUAGAUAACUGUUUCGUCGGUAUAGGUGAAUGACAUAAAGAACAUCUUUAUAGGCAGGGGACGAACAUUUCAUGAAGAAAAGAGGCUCCCCUGAUGGACCAUUCUAAGCUACUGUCAGAAACAGGAUCCAUAGAACUUAAGGACAUGAUUGUAACAAUUAUCAGACAUUGGCUUCUUAGGUCAUGGUGAUCUUUUAGUAUUUUGGCUUUCUGCUGUCCUUUCAUAAAGGAACCUCAUUUUUAGCUUCUAUUGAAGAUAUAAAAUCAUCUCAUAGUAUUUUCUCAUUACUAGGAGCUGUAAAUCAUUUCAAAGCUCUCUUUCUCCUUGAUCGUUUGCAUAUCGAAGCAUUUCUCUUGAGUACUGUGACCUCUCCCCAGGGCAUCUCUGUGGUUUGCUGUGUACCAGUCCUUAGGUUAUGUUCUCUCUGCAUCCUAGGGCCUAGGGAAGUGUGGAUUCCAAGUGACUGGUGUUUUUCUACAGUAGAGCUUUUUUGUUGGCUCUUACCUGGGAGGACAAUGGGGAAGGGCUAGGGCCAUCCUGUUCUUUGCUGGGUGUGACCUUUCCUGCUCUGCUUCGGGGUUCCAUGCUGAAACCACCUCUAGCCAUCAUCGAGUGGGACUCCUUUUUACAUUUUGGCGAUUUCAAUAUCAUUUUUGUAUGGGUUUUGAGUUUCAGCCCUAAAUCUGUGUGGUAUGACAGAGGGAACCUCUACACAAAGGCCUGCUAAUCUGCAACCUCUUCACGCUGCCAUUGGUUAGAUCAACAGUUCAUUCUAGACACUGAACCUUGCCUGUAUGUGUGCUAGUGUCACCACCAACAUCAGCAUCACUGUGUAUCAGCAUCAGCAUCACUGUCCACAGGUCAACCUCCAUACGUCAAUCGCCAGAUCAGUCUAAAAGUGUCGUGUCUGUGUGUAUUUUCUCCCACGCCACCACUCCACUCUGGCUUAAGCCUUCCCACCUGCUACUGUGUACUGUGUGGUUGCUGGCUUUGGGAACUCCCAAACUUUCCCUCUGCAUUUCAUGUUUCUGUUGGCCUGACAAGUAUCUCUUUUUUUUUAAAAAGUACUAGUUUAUUUUAUGUAAAUGAAUGUUUUGUCUGUGUAGCUGGUAUGUGCUUGGUGCCCAUGAAUCCCAGAAGAGGGUAUUGGAUCCCCUGGAAGUGGAGUUAGUUACAGAUGGUUGUGAGCCUUCAUGUGGGUUCUGGGAAUUGAACCCAGGUCUUUUGGAUCCCAGUGAUUUUAAUGGUCGAGCUAUCUUUCCAGCUCCUUAAGGGUCUGAGAAAGGUCCUAGAACCCCUAAAUUCCCCAGUGGCUCCCCUUUGUUAUUCUGAGAAGUUUCAGCUUCAGCUUGCCAUUCUGGCAGACGCAGGACCCUAUAAUCUACCUGCCUUCCGGGAUGAACACAUGGCUUCACCCCUGAAGGCAGUGCUUAUGGCACUGCACGAUUCUCCACUUCCAAAUGUGAUCUGUAUUUUCCGCCCACCUACCUCUUUGCUUAGUCAUUCUUGUAUUCCCUAGUCUGUGCUGAGCACGAGCGCGCUCUCUCUCUCUCUGUCUCCUUUCAUUUUGCUUUUUCUCUUCUCAUCUUUCUUUUUUUCUGUCAGUUUUAUGUAUCUUUGGAAAUUUUACUGAAUGCAACCUUUUUAAGAGUCUUGGAUGCAAUGUCCUUUCUUUGAGCCUUGAAAUCUGAAUCAUCUCUUUAGUGUAUUGUGGCAAAUGACGGUGUUUCUCUGUGUAUUCCUAGCUGUCCUGGAACUCUUUUUGUAGACCAGGCUGGCCUCGAACUCACAGAGAUUUGCCUGUCUCUGCCUCUCAAGUGCUGGGAUCAACAGCAUGUCCUACCACUGCCCAGGUCUUGAUUUCUUGAUUUAAAAGAAUGAGUCACUGCAUAAGGCUUGCCUAGGCCAUCGGCUACAAGCUUCACUGGACAGCGAACAGACAGCAUAGAGUUGGCUUCAUACUAGGGAUUGAGCAUCUAUUGGUGGAAUAAAUAAAUCAAUAUGUGGAA
ensembl:lincRNA long non-coding RNA, embryonic stem cells expressed 1